UAAUACUGAGGGUGCAAGCGUUAAUCGGAAUUACUGGGCGUAAAGCGAGUGUAGGCGGCUGCAUAAGUCGGAUGUGAAAGCCCUGGGCUUAACCUGGGAAUUGCAUUCGAUACUGUGCAGCUAGAGUCUGAUAGAGGGAAGUGGAAUUCCAGGUGUAGCGGUGAAAUGCGUAGAUAUCUGGAGGAACAUCAGUGGCGAAGGCGGCUUCCUGGAUCAAGACUGACGCUAAGGCUCGAAAGCGUGGGGAGCAAACAGGAUUAGAUACCCUGGUAGUCCACGCCCUAAACGAUGUCAACUAGACGUUGGGUUCUUUAAUGAACUUAGUGUCGAAGCUAACGCGUUAAGUUGACCGCCUGGGGAGUACGGCCGCAAGGUUG
rnacentral:rRNA from 1 species